rnacentral:rRNA from 1 species
UACGUAGGGGGCAAGCGUUGUCCGGAUUUAUUGGGCGUAAAGAGCGUGUAGGCGGCCAGGUAGGUCCGCUGUGAAAACUCGAGGCUCAACCUCGAGAUGUCGGCGGAAACCAUCUGGCUAGAGUCCGGAAGAGGAAAGUGGAAUUCCCGGUGUAGCGGUGAAGUGCGCAGAUAUCAGGAGGAACACCGGUGGCGAAGGCGGUUCUCUGGGCAUUACCUGACGCUGAGGAGCGAAAGUGUGGGGAGCGAACAGG